AGCAGCCGCGGUAAUUCCAGCUCCAAUAGCGUAUAUUAAAGUUGUUGCAGUUAAAAGCUCGUAGUUGAAUUUCGGGAUUGGCGUAUCGGUCGUGCCUCACGGGGUAUGAACUGGUGCAGUCAAUUUCUCACCUUCUGGAGAACCGCGAUGUCCUUAAUUGGAUGCCGUGGGGAACCAGGACCUUUACUUUGAAAAAAUUAGAGUGUUUAAAGCAGGCAUUUUUGCUUGAAUACAUUAGCAUGGAAUGAUAAAAUAGGACGGCAUGGUUCUAUUUUGUUGGUUUCUAGGACCACCGUAAUGAUUAAUAGGGAUAGUUGGGGGCAUUAGUAUUCAAUUGUCAGAGGUGAAAUUCUUGGAUUUAUUGAAGACUAACUACUGCGAAAGCAUUUGCCAAGGAUGUUUUCAUUAAUCAAGAGCGAAAGUUAGGGGAUCGAAGACGAUCAGAUACCGUCGUAGUCUUAACCAUAAACUAUGCCGACUAGGAAUCAGACGAUGUUAAUUUUUUAAUGACUCGUUUGGU
rnacentral:misc_RNA from 1 species